UUGGUGUUCAUAGUUCCAUUUUCUUCUGAUUUGUCAAAGCUCCCGUGCUGAUCAGUAGUGGGAUCGCGCCUGUGAAUAGCCACUGCACUCCAGCCUGGGCAGCAUAGCGAGACCCCGUCUCUAAAAAAACAAAAAAACAAAAACA